GCGGUAAAACCAGCACCUCAAGUGGUCAGGAGGAUUAUUGGGCCUAAAGCAUCCGUAGCCGGCUCUGUAAGUUUUCGGUUAAAUCUAUAUGCUCAACGUAUAGGCUGCCGAAAAUACUGCACAGCUAGGGAAUGGGAGAGGUAGACGGUACUCGGUAGGAAGGGGUAAAAUCCUUUGAUCUAUCGAUGACCACCUGUGGCGAAGGCGGUCUACCAGAACAUGUUCGACGGUGAGGGAUGAAAGCUGGGGGAGCAAACCGGAUUAGAUACCCGGGUAGUCCCAGCUGUAAACGAUGCAGACUCGAUAAUGCACUGGCACAUAGCCAGUGCAGUGUCGCAGGGAAGCCGUUAAGUCUGCCGCCUGGGAAGUACGUACGCAAGUAUGAAACUUAAAGGAAUUGGCGGGGGAGCACGGUC
rnacentral:rRNA from 1 species